AUUUAUAUUAAUAUCACCCUGCAGCCCAAGACUGGUUGCCCACUGAAGCUAAGCAGGGUUGAGCCUGGUCAGUACCUGGAUGGGAGACCUCCUGGGAAAACUAGGUUGCUGUUGGAA
ensembl:rRNA 5S_rRNA 5S ribosomal RNA